rnacentral:lncRNA from 1 species
UACUUAAGUCUUUUAUAAUUGUAUAAUCUCAGUUCAUCCUUCUAUUAAGCCCACCACCAUAAUCACUCUUUAUUUUAAAAAUUAAGAAAAUAACACACUAUAAUACAAGCUUGGCCCUAUUAAAAACUCAUUGUCAAAGAUACAUCCAUGAAAAUGCAAAAUACAGUUCCAGUUGCCUGCUUGCUUCUUUACAUAAUACUAUUCCUUCGCCACAUUUAAUUUAUUCAGAACUUUAUUUGGGAUAAAGUUGGAUUAUUCAAUUUAACGUGAAGCUUUUACCAAACCAAAAUAUACUUUAAUCUCAUUGUCAGACUUUGUGUUCUCCAUGGACACAAAGUUUAGUUGUGCAUCUCAUUUGACAUGGGUGCAAGAGCUUCGGUCAUGGUCCCUUUAUCUGACAUGUGUUUGUCUUGUCCUGAAACGAAAGGAGGACAAUGGGGACAGUUUGGUGGUUGGUAUAUAGGUGGAUGGUAGUAUGGCACGCUUGGGGUGCACCCACCGGUUUGGCAUCCUCCACCAGUACCAAAGCCAGGAACCGUCACUCCCGGAAUCGUAAAACCGGGAAUGUGGGUGCCUGGCACAGUUAUGGGAGGGAUUGUUGUGCCUGGUACAGUUAUGGGAGGGACAACUACACUGGGUACACCAGUAGAGCCACUUCCUCCUCUACCGAUACCAAUCCCUUCCCCUGAACCACUACCUCGUCCAAUGCCUUCACCAAAUCCCCUACCUGGGGCUCCCCUGACAGGACCGCAGUUAGGUUGGCCAUACCCUGACCCUCUUCCUUCUCCAAUGCCAACACCUGAACCAUCACCAUAGCCAAUUCCUUCUCCAAAGCCACUGCCUCCACUAGAGCCAAUUCCUUCUCCAAAACCACUGCCACCACUAGAGCCUAUCCCUUCUCCAAAACCACUGCCUCCACUAGAGCCUAUUCCUUCUCCAAAGCCGCUGCCUCCACUGCCAUAACCAACGCCAUAGCCAUAUCCCAUAGGCUUAACUGUGUGAUCAGGCUUCUCUAUGCCAUCAAUCUUCUCUUUGUCAUUAAGCUUCUCUUUGUAAUUAGGCUUGACUAUAUGAUCAGGCUUCUCUAUGUCAUCAAUCUUCUCUUUGCCACCAUCAUUAAGCUUCUCUUUGUAAUUAGGCUUUACUACAUGAUCAGGCUUCUCUAUGUCAUCAAUGUUCUCUUUGUCACCAUCAUUAAGCUUCUCUUUGUAAUCAGGCUUUACUUUAUGAUCAGGCUUCUCUUUGUCAUCAAUCUUCUCUUUGCCACCAUCAUUAAGCCUCUCUUUGUAAUUAGGCUUUACUAUAUGAUCAGGCUUCUCUAUGUCAUCAAUCUUCUCUUUGUCAGCAUUAAGCUUCUCUUUGUAAUUAGGCUUUACUAUAUGAUCAGGCUUCCCUAUGUCAUCAAUCUUCUCUUUCCCACCAUCAUUAAGCUUCUCUUUGUAAUUAGGCUUUACUUCAUGAUCAGGCUUCUCUAUGCCAUCAAUCUUCUCUUUGUCAGCAUCAUUAAGCUUCUCAUUGUAAUUAGGCUUUACUUUAUGAUCAGGCCUCUCUAUGUCAUCAAUCUUCUCUUUACCACCAUCAUUAAGCUUCUCUUUGUAAUCAGGCAUUACUUUAUGAGCAUGCUUUUUUUCAGGAUCAGGUUCUUCUAGCUCACGCCACAUGGAUUGCAGUUUAUGAUCAGGCUUGACCUUGUCCUCAGGCUCUUCUGGUUCACCCCACCACGCGGACUGCGGAUUAUGGCCAGGCUUGACUUUGUGGUCAGGUUCUAGACUGAACAAGCCAUGAUCUUGCUCCCUCAAACUAACCUUCCCAGGCUUCACUACAUGGUCUAGAUCCUUAAGAAUCCUGCGUGCGAAAGUUGAACUGAAGAAACAUAGUAAGAGGACAAAUCCAAAGCAUUUGCCUUGGUGUCCCUUUGCCAUUUUAUUUUCUAGAAAAUAAGUUGAUUCUGCUGUACAUUCCCGAGUAAAGAACCACCUCAUGGUUUUAUAGUAUAUUAGAUUUUACUUUAAACAAAACACAUCCCUUAAACGCAAAGUGCCUUUGCUGAAAAUACGCAAGAAAUAAAGGGAUUCACAAACUUAGCAUGAAGAAUAUUAAGGAGAUUUUCUGGGAUAACACAAAUUGUAUGUUUACCAACUUCAAGUUUUGAAAACUUAUUAAGAUGAUUUGCCCAACAAGAAAGUACUCCAUCCACACAAAAUCUUUGGAACAUGAUGUUAUUAUAUAUGACUAAAAGUUGGUAGAACCUUCAGCCAAAGCAUGUGCACUGUUCUGUAUAAACCUGAACAGUCAUAUGGUUAACAAACAAGGUAUGUCUAAGAUGAGAUGUGGAGAAAACAGAUUCUAAUCUCUAACAACAUUAACGGUUGCACAGCCCCAUAGAAUCCUCAUUGACCACUUGUAGCUAAUAACUCCUCUCUAAUCACCAGUAAAAACGCAAACUUUAUGACUGGAAAACAUCAAAAAGGAACAACAGUUUCAGGUUUUGUCAAAUACAAAACAAAUUUGAUAAAGAGUAAAAAUAUUGGAGACUUAGUCAACAAUAAACAAAACAUAAAGGACCUACAUACAAUAUAAAAAACCUUUAGACACUCCUCAGUCCUCAUGCAACCACUGACCAUGAUGUCUCGUUACUUAAACUGAAAAAUUGUUUGUCAUCGCUGGCAAAUUCUCUCUCUUGUCCCCUUCUUUCUCCGUUAGACUUAACAAGUUUGGUCCUUUCGAUAACCAAAAACCCAUUUCAGAGUCUCGAUUGAAUAGCCCUCCCUCCCUCCUCCUCCUCCUCUGUACGGCUCCGGCGUUUUAGGCAAAGCGAAAACUCUUUGGCAUUUCUGAUUUGCUGCAAAGGCAUUUCCUUUUGGUCUAUCUCCGCUUCAUUAUAGUUAAAAAUCCUGUCUUUUACAAGCCCGUGUUCUGCUUUUAGUUCCUAGUCAAAGAUUGAAACUUGAACACUGUUCACUCAGCAUUAUAGUAACUGAACAAUUUGUUUUGCAGUGUGAUUUUAGAAAGAAGAGAUGUCAAUGGUUGCAAGCUCUUCGCACAACGAUCAAGAUUCAAGAAGCUUGCAAGUGCUUCUCGAUGCUUUCGGCUCUCGUUUCUCUCUAGAUGACAUUACUGCUGCCUACCACGAAGCUAGUCAGAAUGUUGAUGUGGCUGGUGAGAUUCUCUUUGCCAUGACUGAAAAGACUACUGAGAGUGACCAAGUUGAAAAGAAUGAAGCAACUCAUGCCAAAGCCAAAGUAUUGAGGCCAAAAAAGAGUUCUGUAUCAGUUGGUAGUGUUUCAAGUGUUAUCGGUAAGGAGUAUGUUAGAACCAGACCUGUAUGUAAUGCUCGCCAAGAAGCGAGUAAACCGGUGAAAAUAGACUCAAAGGAUAUACCAGAAACUGAGAUGUGGUGUCAAGAAAGCAAGGAGGCAAUAAACAUAAGCAGGGCUCCAACUGAGGUUGAGGAGUUUAUUAUUAAGAUGCUUGGAGAAGGCUUUCAAGCUAGCCCUGAGCUCAUUCACCAGAUUCUUGGUAAGCAGAGUUCUCUUCUUUCUUUCCUUGAUUAAACUUCCUUUUCUUCUUUAAUGGUAUUCAUGAUGCUAAAACUUAUCUGCUUUUCCAACAAACUAUCAGGCGUAUGUGGCUAUGAUGUGAAGAAGGUAAGCCAGUUCCCUUAGCUCUGAGAUAAGUAAUGUAUUUUUGUUUCUUUAAUUUGCUUUUGCACAUUCCUUUGUAUUCAUCUUAUAAACAAAUAUAUUAUAUGUUUUACCUUUUCUUGGCUAAAUCUUAUUAUAUUUACACAUAUCUUUAUUUACACAUGUGACCUUUAUAGCUGCAUCACUCUUUUUUAUUUGAGUUACUUUGACAAUUCCUUUUUAGUGUCUUAAUACUAUUUGCUGGCUAAAGUUUGAGAUAAAAUUGACUUUUCAGUCCUACUGUCUCCUCUAGUUUUGUUCACUUGAUUGUCUCCUCUAGUUGUGUUCACUUGAUUGUCUCCUCUAGUUGUGUUCACUUGAUUGUUAUUGGUAUCUCUAUAGCUCUUGGCAUAUGGAUCCUGUGGGUAUUUCUUGGAUCUUUGUGUGUUUAACUUCUUCUUUUGUGGCAUCCACUCUAUUCUUUAAUUAUAUUGCAGAGUACAGAGAAGCUACUUGACUUGUCUGAUACCAAGAAGCUUGCUGAUGUUGGAAUUUCCAAUGAACUUGUGAGCUUUUGCUAUAUGACAUUCAGUUUUGGUGGUUGUUAUAGAAUGUUUUUCUACUAAAUCUGACUCUGAUUGGUUAACUUGGUCUAUCAUCUUCUUCUUCAAGAUGUCAAAAGUCGAUUCUCAAAGACAGGGAUCUACAUCCUGCAACCAAGUGGAACUUUCUCAGGGGUACGCUUUUUUCUUGUCAAAUCUUUGUACAAAAUCCUUCCCCUUGGAAAUUGUUUUGAUCUCUUUCUCUCUCUGUGAUGAUACACAGUGAUGGAGCAAGAAACUUAACAGGUUCACAGGAAGGAGGUAAAGACAACUCUGGUCUUGAAAAGGAGGUUUUAGAAGCUUUGUUCUCGUGUCCAGAAAGAUAUGAGGAAGUGCCAAAACUAACUCGGCGAUUUAGAGAAAUGAGAGGAAGAGCUGCUGGUCGUCCUGUUAUUAAACCUCUGGAAGACCCUUUUCAAGAGGGAGUUGUCACUGUGAAACAAUCGUCACAUACAUCUAAACAAGGUAAAACCGUGUCAGAGUCUUUACAUGUACGUUUAUUUGAGUUUAAAUCUCAAGAGUUUACUAAACUAUCUCUAUGUCUCUCACUUUUGAUAGAUGAAGAUGAUGAAAAUGAAUACAAGGCUCAUCGUAAAGCAGUGCACGAGAAUUUGCAUGAGAUGAAAGAAUACUACGGAGCUGUAAGUCUUUGAGAUCAUAAAGGAGUCAUGUGAUUGUUGCGUAAGUAAAACCUCUUUCUCUUUGGCAGGCGGUAGAAGCAUUCUCCAAAGGAGAAACCGAGCGAGCACAGAGACUAGUGGAAAAGGUAAAAGAACUUUGUGGUUGAAUGUGAUCUCUCUGUCGUUCUUGUGUUAACUAUUUGAUAUCUUCCACAAUACACAGGGACACUUCUUCGGACAAAAAGCUCGGGAAGCUGAUGACAAAUCCAUAGCAAAGAUGCUUGAAGUCAAGUGGGUUUAAUUUCACAACCAUUUAUUUUUCAGUCUUGUACUUUAACUUUGGCAAAAGGUGUUGAGAAAAUUCAAAACCAUGUUAUAGGGAAGACAAUGUUUCCACUUAUAAGGAAGAUGAGGUAGUAUUAGUGAAUGUGAAUGAGCUCGAACCAAGGGAAGCUCUUCGUCUUCUCAAACUCCAACUUAAAAACUUCACUGGCAUUCCAUGUACGUUUUCACUCUCACUAAACCAUUUUUGUCUUUAGCAUAAACGAAUCUAAUCUGUUUUAUGGAUUAUGAUUCAGCUAUCAAAUGCCUGAGAGUCAAAUUAGGUGACAACAAGGAAGAUUCCAAAUGCAAACGAAGGGUACCUAAUAACUAUCUUUGCUCAUAUAUCUUCUUCAUCUCUAAAACGAACUUUGAGUUGAGUUGGUUCACUUUGUUUUCUUAGCAUACUGCAAUUGCAAAGCUGCUGGAGGGUGAAUCCAUUGCCUGGUCUAAAGAAGAUGAUGGCCUCGUGUUGAUGAUUCGUAUUGAUGAGAUUGACCCUGAGAAAUUGAGUUUUGCCAAGAAAUAAAAACACCAUUGGUUCAUAUCCUUUUGCUUAGUUCCACUACAAAAUUUGACUAUGAUGUUUCAAACAAUAUUCGUAUGUAACAAAAGCAAAGAAGCAUUUGGCAGAAAUAUAAUUUUUUGGUUUAUCAAGUCAUCUGACAUUAUUACAAUAUGCUUAUAAUGUUUUGGGGUGAAUCAUACGGCACACUCCACACAAAGGUGGCCAAAAUUACUCUACCAACAUUGGGAUAUCUGACUUGAGAACCUGUGUUUGCCAUUCUGAAUCAGAUAGGUUCGGCACUGCACCAUCAAACAAACAGUUUUUAAAUACUAGAUCUCUCAAAACCAGAGAUGGCUGUUUUAUGCAAUACUGCAUUUUCUCAUCGCAGCCACUAAGUCAUGGUUCUGUUUUUGAGUUAUAUUGAACCCUAUGCUGAAAAAAUAAUCAAGUUCUUAUCACAAUACCUUGAGGAACAGUUACAUUGCUUUUAAUUCUAUAUAAUUCAAGAAAAAAAAAACUAUAGAAUUCAAGAAAGCAUUCCUCCUUAUAUGAUAUGUUUCAAAGUUCAGAUCUAAGAGAGUCUUCAUUGAAGAUAUCUCAAUGAUUUUUUCAACAUUAAAGUAAUAAAAAAGAAUGAGAUGAGUAUAUUAGUCUCUACAAUAAAAUUUAAGAUACUCUUCUACACUUAGCCUCAUACCAUUAGUCUCUUUAUUUUUAUGACUUAAAAUUUAACUAAACAAUCAAACUAUAUUGAAUAUAUUACUAUAUAUUUGUGAGAUACUCAACCGAGUUUCUCACCACUAACGAUGCUUUAAAAGUUCUACUUUCAUAUUCCAAUCCUUAUAAAUUCAGAGUUUCACAUAAGUGAUUCAUGAUUCUGAAAGACAAAAACAGAUUCAAUUGUAUAGAAGAAACAUCUAAUAACUAUCAAGGAGUGUCUUCAUCAUCACCAUGUGAUAAUUCUACUCAUGUUCAACCACCAGAACUCGUUUCUAAAUUUAUCCUAAGAAGUUGGAUAUUCUUUAUUCUCAAGACGUUAGUCCAACGAAAGCAUGUCUUAUGGGUAAUUCUUCGGAUCUUAAUCCACAAGAUGGUUAAAGAACCAUGAUCUCAAUCGGCUCUUUUUCUCUCGAGGUAUCUACAAGAUAAACUUGUUAAUAAGAAAGUGAAACUCAUCGCUAUAUGUGUAUAUCUUUGGAAAACCCAUAUUAAAGAAGAUAUUGAAGAGGUUUAGAAGGAUGAAUAAAAAUUUGGUUUGUGGAUCAUCUCUUUCUUUUCUCUUAUUGUAGCUUCUAUUGUAAUCGUGUGGGCGACAAUUAUGUACAUUGAGCUGACAUUAUGUCUCACAAUCUCCACUUGUGUCGUGUUUGGACUCUUACCUUCCUUCUUCUAAUCUAGAUUAAGAUUGCUUUGGUAAAAUUAGAAUUUUGAAGGAGUCUGAUAGUGUUGUAGGACCAUGUAUCAUAUAUGAAAUAUUUUAUGUACAAGAAAAACACAUGUGGUUAGAGUUGAAGUAUAGAUCUGAGCUGCUUGACUAUAAUUAUUGGUAGUGUUACUAUUGUUAUGUAGUUUGAUACCAUUACUUCGGUAAAUAUGACAAGGAGAUAGUCAUCAAUAAAAGAAGUUUGUGUAUAAAUAUAGAAAAUAUAUAGAAAAAUAAAUGGUCUAAACUCCCUUGGAAUGUAAACUUGAUGCAAUCUGUUACCUCUAAUUUUAAAGAGAAUUCGUUUUUGAAGUCUAAUAUGUUUGUUGAUGUCCUUGCAAGAUAUUAAUAUUUAGUUUCCGAAGUCACCUUAUAAAGGUCGCAACACCUACAUUUAUUUUCCUGAAAUUAUUAGACAAGAUGGCCUUAGUCCAGAAGGAAAAACGUUAUAUCACAUACGGUUCAUGACAAUUUGUAUCACAAUAAUUAUGUAUAGAAUCAGCCAAAGUGCUUGAAAAAACGAGCCAUGAAUUAUACUCUUCAUGCCGAGAUUAUAAUUCCUCAUCUACCACUAUUUGGCCAGUACUUAUUCAAAUCAGGCUUGUUUGAUGUGAAUGAAAAGGUUGGAGUAUGCUUUCUACAAAGUAGUGGAGGUAGUUACAUUGUGUGGUACUAGAAGACAUGAAGAAGAACGUAUGGUCUUCAAUCCUCAUUGAAACUUUUCAAAGUAUCCUAGACCAGCUCAGUCACUUCUCUACUUAUCCUUUGAAGGUUUUACGAGAGCUGGAGAAUUUGUAUUCGCUAAAGUAGAGAUAAGAUCCAUUCUAUCUCCACUGUCACAACCCUGCUACAAUAGUGACUCGAAAAGAACUCAUCCAAAAGUCUACAGCUUGUGCAUGUACACUGAGAAGAAAUAGUUUUUGGAACCAUAGAAAGAUCUCUUGAUGUUCACCUGAGGAUGAACAUACAUUAGUCAAACAGAAGAAACAGUUAGUAACUGUAGCUAACUGCGCAUAUAGUGAUUUUUUUUUAACUAAAUAAACAUUGUACAACACUUGACAACAACAAUGAUUUUUUUAAAAGCCAAUAAUAAUUUUAAUUUUCUGAUCCAGAUCACAACUUGGAGAGUCCUUCAAGACAAUUAUAUAUGUUGACUACACAGAACGAUGGCAACGUUUUUUAGAUUGGGUUAAGUACAACCAAAAUCAACAAAUUUAUUGAGCUUUGUUUGUAUUGCAGAUACUCUAUAGAAAAUAUGAGUAAGUUCAUAGAUUUUCCUUCCCGUAUGUCCAUUCUUGUGUAUGAUUAACGAUUAGUUAGUGAAAAUAUUGGUCGUUUCAGUGUAGCACAUCGAUUCGACUAGUUAGGUGGUAACAACUCCUGUGUAGAAACAUAUUAAGGGAAGAGUCACUCGUUCUGUGUCUGAUUUAAUGAUUUAACAAUGUAUUUUUUAAAAGUGUACUUUAGAAUACAAUGAUGUCCAUGGCUCUUUCGAAUGAAAUUCGUAAUGUCUUAUGGAGUUUGGAUGAGUUCUAGCUAGGAACGAAAAGUGUGCAUUACAUGUAGAGAAGCAACAAAUCGACAUGACAAUCUCAUUGUUUAAGCAUAUGUAGCAGUAAAUCUAGAUGUGCUGCAUCAUCUUGAUUCUACUUCCCAAUUUUGUUUUCUUGGUUCCAGUCAGACGAGGAGAUGACACCAGUUUCCAUCAUUGUGGAGGAAACAUUUCCUCUACUUCUGAUUAUAUUUAGCGAUAUUAUACAGAUCAAAAAUCCUCGUAGAGUUUAUGAAGCUGAUAUGCAAACUAUUUUGGUCAUCAGUAUAUGUAAGUCUGCAAUGAGAGUAGUUAGUUGUGCUUCUCUCGGCAGGCAUUAUACUUUUGUUGUUCCUAAAUUUAAUUCCCUAAAGUACAAUUCAAACCAUAUCAAGUGUGUGUAUAAUUUAUUAAUCAAAGUGAAAGAUGCAGGAGAUGGAAUCCUAGAUAAGUGGUUCCAACUCCACUUGUGACUUUUUUUUUUUGAAACACUACUCCACUUGUGAUCCAUGUCUCUGUUUUCUUGUAUAUGAUUAUCACUUGCAUUGCAUGAUGUCUUAACAUAUUAGCAAUUAGCAAAUUUUCUAGUCAAACAGACUCCUAGGUUGUAGCGUGCAAGCCGCUUCAUUGAGGCGAACACAGGAAGAAAAGGAAUCUCUGGCGAUGCUUCCUCUCGAGCCAAGUAAUAGGAAGCAACAGAACCAGUAAUCACUGUAGCAGAAGAUUCACUGAAGAACUGUGUGUCCCAGUAACAACCAAAUCGAUGGAAGAAUAUAGCAAUGGUGAUGUGAGGAGUGUAACGAAUGCUGUAACCGCAACAACUGUCACAGAUCACUUUCUUUAAGACGAGAUUAUGUUGUUGCAGUUGUUCUGAACAACCUGACCAGAACUGAAUAGAUGGAGAGCCGCCGAUAGCCAGAACAUAUAGAAUAUAGCGAGCAUUGCGUAUGGUAUAGCCGGAAUAUAAUCAGCGCUUGCACUUCUCCUAUUACUUUAGCAGCUGCCUGGAAGAAUAUCACAAGCAUACACAACAACAACAUGACAUUUCAUUAGGAAAAGCCAAACUAGUUAUUACACUACUAAGAAGCUAGUAGUCACCUUGAGGACUGAUGUUGCCAUGAGAAUACAUACGGUGGAUGAUGGCAACUGAAGUGAGGAUAGCUAUAACUGAGAUAAAAGUCAUCAGACUGGCGACUCCACGGACAUGAGUCAGCUCCUGUGAACAAGCAAAUGUAAAUAAGCAUGUAGAAGUGUGGGACUAAAGGCAGUGAUGUGCCAACCCUCUCAGGGGCCCGAGGCAAAUACGAUGACUUAGCAUUAGAUUUUUACUAUAAAAAUUAUUUAUAAUCAAAAUAUUAAUUAUAUUGUAAUAUAAUAUAAAAUGCUAAUGAAAAAUAAAAUAAAAUAAUAUUAAAAAUGAUUAUAGUAUUUAAAUGAUUUCACUUUUUAUUUUUUAUAAAGAAUUUUCUUUUUCUUUUUUAAGAUAUGUUUAAUAUCUUAAAAAUUAUAAGGAAAACAAACAAAAGGCAUUCUAAUUUAUAUAUGUUAAAAUAGGAUAAAGUAUGCUAACCAUCAACAUUCACACCACUAAAUUAAAAAAAAAAUAUUUUAAAUAGAAAUACAAUUUUCUGGUAGAAACAAAUUUGAGAAAACAAAAUUAACUAAAAAACUUGAACUUAAACAAAUAAAAGGUUAUUUUCUUUUAUAUAAUUUUAACAAAAAAAACUGUUUUUUGUAAUUUUUUGGUUUUGAGUUCAAGAAGAAAACAUACGUUUAAACAAUUUUCAAAGAUUUUCUUAGAGAUUUGGGACCCUAAUUUUUGUAAAUUAUGUGGGGGCCUAAGGCUAAUGCAUUUUUGCUAAUACUAUAGGUACGCCUCUGACUAAAGGUCUCAUGGAGUAAUGAACUUACACUCUCAUAAUGGGUCAUGCUCACCAAUAAUUGGUGUUACAGCAUCAUCCAUCCAGCUACAGAAGAUAGAAACGUAAUACAUAUAUUGAGUUAUUAUGACGAGAAAAUACUGAGACAGACAGAAGAAACAUGAUUUUCUCAAACCAACCUUUCAAGUAACAGAAGAUAGUCAGUCACUGAUAUUAAAAGCAUGUUGAAAAGGACAACGGUUAUCCAUGGCAUGGCAGCAACAAAAUGCCGAAUAAGAAGCAGCCAAACAACGGGAUUAGAAGAGCGGGACAAUGCCUCCACAAACAAUCAAUACUGGCCAUGACUUGCCAAUAUCAGCAACAUAACGCUGCCAUUGAACAACCAAACAUUCUUCAAUGUUCCAAGAACAAGUUUGAAAGUAGAAUCUACAUGUCAAAGAGAGAAUAUUAUCAUUUCUCUGACCUUUACAACCGAGGCACGAGAAUCCAAUGACCUUCUAAUCGAUUUGUCUAUGAUCAUGUCAUCUUGAAUGUUCACACCAUUCAUCUUCUGCCAGUGGCUCAGUGAUAAGUUUGAAGCACGAGCAAUAUAUUGGCAGCUCCAAUAAACUACAAUUAAAAGAUCAAAACUCAAAUAAAUAAAUAGAUAAAUAAAUAAAUAAAGACUUAAAGCUUUGUGAAAUGUGAAUAUAUAAUGCAUACUUACCAUUCACGCUAGGGAAGAUUAGAGGGUAACAAAGACCCUGAAGCUGAAGAGAUGAGUUCCUCAUUUCAGGAGUAAGAAACACUCAAAGUAAUCAUAAUUCCUGUCUGCCCAAAAUCACUCAUCUUGAGACGAAACCAACCAUUUCCAUCGGCCUUAUAGCUUACUCGGGCUUUAUAUGGAAUUGAACUGAAAUCAUAUGUACGUAAUAACCAAACCAAACUCGGAAAUAAGCGUGGGACCCACAAAUUAAAACUGUUGACGUGGACUCUCUUAGAAGAGAAAAAAAUCUAUUUUAUAUAUAUAAAUUUCGGUAUUAAAAAAAAAGAAGAAAAAAAAAAUCUAACAGUUUCUCGUUUCUUAAAAUGGCUUCUGCUGUCGACGUUCCCGCCACCAUUCAAGAAGACGAUGAAGUUGUUGCCAAGAGCUUUCUAGCCCUCAGCUUCAUCUCUCAAGAGAGAAAGAGAAAGAACGUAAAUAUUUCUCAAGAACGCAACUGUUUCACAGAAUGGACUUCAUCAAUGUUCUCGCCAUCCAAGAAGAAGAUGAACACACAAACGACGUUUCCAGGAAAUUUUUGGCGAAGUGGAACAAGUCUCUCCUCCACAUAUAGAAAGACUUUAUUCAUCAACUCCUUGUGAAACUUCCACUAUUGUUUGAUCACCAGAGCUAGUUCGAGAAUUGAUCAUGAGAGGUUGGAGAUUAUCUAUUAUCGAGAGAUCAAUCAAUAUUGAUUUGUGGGUUAUUAUUCUGAUUUUAAUCUAGAAGAAGGUUAAAGAGCAAGAAUUCAAACUGUUGUGUGUCUCUUAAUGUAUCUCCAUAAUGAAUUUGUUAACAAAGUGAGCUCGUUGCUCUAUGUAUUUGUCUUGAAAUAAUGUUAGACAAUGCAAAUAAAACCAAUGUCAAAGAAGAUUCCGAAGAAGUUAAAGAGAAGAAAACAAAUAGAGAGAUUCAAGAAGUUAAUUAAUAAUGAGAGUAGCUUUUUAAUAGCAAAACUGAGAUCUGUUUUUGGUGAACUUAGAAUUCUGGAAACUCAUAGAGAUAUGGGACCAUAUAUCAUAUAUGAAACUUAUGUGUACAAGGAAAGCACUGUACGGUUGGAGUUGGAGUAUAGAUUUGAGCUGCAUGACUAUAUUGAUUGGUCUGAUACUAUUGAUUUUGUAAAUAUGAUAAGGAGAAAAUCAACUGCAAGAAAAGUCAUUUUAUAUAUGAUUUCGUUAUAAAAAAUAAAUAAAGAAAAAACUGACAGUUUCUCAUUUUUUAGAAUGGCUUUUUCUGUCGAUGUUCCCGCCACCAUUCAAGAAACAAUGAAGUUGUUGCCAAGAGCUUUCUGGGUGAAGUUUCUUUCAACUCCUGAGUCCACUCUUAUCAUUAGAGGGUGGAGAUUGUAUAUCAUAGAAAUAUCAAUCCGAAGAAAAAUUUCCUUGUGUUUGAUUCUUUGGAUAUUAUACAAGAAGGCUAAAGAGAAAAAAUAUGCAGGUGUUCUCUGUCUCCUGAGGUAUCUCAACAAUGAACUAGUUGACAAAGUGAAGCUCGUCGCUAUAUGGGUUUUUCUUGGGAUGAAUGCAAGUAAAACCCAUGUCGUACAAGAUUCUAAAGAGAUUAAGGAAGAGUAAACAAAUCGUGAGAGAUUCAAGAAGGCAGCACGUAGCAAUAACGUUUCAAGAAAAUCAAGAAAUUGAAGAGGUUCACGUGAGGAUGAACAUGAAGCACCUCCACUUGAAGACAUUACAAAGAAUCUAGAGGUUUUGUAACUAAACAUGUCUAAGAAUCUUGUUUAACAAAAAAAAAAGCCUCAAAACAAAAAGCAAUAUUUAGAUACAAAACCUAAUUAAACAUUAGAAAGAGAAUAAUAGUUAACGGUUGAAACACUUUUGUCUCCAGUUUUUAGCAUAAUUUCAAAGAAGUUAACCCAAAAGAAAAAGAUGCGCUAGACAUCAAUGAUGACAAUAUGAAUAUAUUGUAUCUUCAUACUUGAUAAUUAUAUGAAUAUAUUCUUUUCUAAAUACAGUAGUUUAAAAACACCUAAAUUAUAUGUAACAAAAGAUGAACCUUGAAAGUCAAAAUGGAGACCUUGUAAGGCUUGUAUCGUUAAGACUUUUUAACUCACUUCUCUAUUAGGUGAUAGCAACUGUACAAAUGAGAGUGCUUAUCAAUAAAGACAUGUCAUAUAUAAGAAAAAGAGGAUCCAUGAUAAUAAGAAACGGAUCAACCAAGUCCUCUGUGUUCUGUUAACAUUGAAGAAAUCUCGCCUAAGAAGAGCUUCUUAAGCUCCUUAAAAUAAGCAAAAGGAUCAAAUAAGAAAAGGAAGCUCAAUUCGAAGACAUUCCGCCUCUCGGUGAUCCGUUACUGCUCUCUGCAACGUCAAUCUCUGAGGGUUUGUCUUCUUCAGGUUCCAGACCAAGGACACCUAGAAGAAUGAACUCCUUCAACAGAAGCGUGUCCACAGUGAUACCCACAUCUUGGCUAAACUUCUCAGAGCAUCUCUCGCUACUCUCUUCCCCUUCUUUAACCUUUCCCCUCACCAAAGAGGCCACCGGAGCUCCGUUUCUAUAAGCAGUACACGCCCUCAACACGUCGUGAGCACAGCUGAAGAAAUGCCCAUACGAAAAGUCUUCAAAAUACUGUAAAAAUCCAACAAAACACAUCAAGAACCAUCACAAGCUCAGGUUUCUCCUCAAUGGAUGAGUUUUAAGUUUUUUUUGUUACCUUGGGUGGUCUCCUCAUGUUGUAAACCAUCGUCUUCAAAGAAAGUAAGAAUGUGUUUUCGCUGUAAGCUUUAGAUUGGGCCUCACCGCCUGCAGAACCCGCUGUUCUCUCGUAGCCAGGCUCGUUGAAGUAAGGCUUUUCAUUCAAGAUUAGACCUUGGAUCGAGACAAGAACCUGUAGCAUUGUGGAGUUGUUGGGGAUCCACUUCUCCCUCGGUGCACCACUCCAAGUGCCGAGAAGACUCAGACACACUUUCCCACAGUUGUACAGAUUUGGGUUGAUUCUUAGCCCACCAGACUGGUAAUGAACCAUCUGAACAAAACCGAAAAAACAAAAAAAAUUCAAAAUCACAAAAGAGAAGACAUUAGGAGAUAGACAACAACUUG